CCCUAGCCCUGAUGGAAGGGAAAAUCCUUUUUUGAUAAAACGCGAAGCAAGUUUUAUCAAAAAAGAUUGGAAUGACAGCAGGAAAUAGC
rnacentral:sRNA from 1 species